GCGGCUGCGCUGACCGGACAAUGGCCGCUCCUCCCCCUCCCCUCCGCGCGCACCCCUCCCGAGGAGUCGCGAUGGUCUCGCCCGGGGAAGCCGCCGCCAAAGCCCAGCAGCUGAUCAGCUGGGAUCCGGGCGUGCCACUUUGUUCCGCGCGUCUGAGUCCGGGGCCGUGGGUGACGCCGAAAGCGUCGAGCGACGAGCUUCCGAGGCCUUCGUGAUGUAGGAACUUUCAAAAUCUGAGGCAAACUCACCUUUCCCUGUCAAAGGCAGGGGAGCCGGUUUCUGAGUACUCUGGGGCGCGUCCCCCCUCCUCGCGGAGCGAAUGGUACGCCCCAAGCGAGCGGGGGAGGAGCAGUUUAGUUGUUUAGGGUAAAUUGGACCCGGCCCAGAACAGCGGCGCAUGCGCCCGGAGACCCCACUACCGGCUGCGGGAGGCCCUCGAGGGAUCCUCGCCAAACCCUGGUCACAUUUCAAUUGUGCAUUAGCUGUGGAUUCAUUAACAUUAUGUCUUUGGCCUCUAAACUACAGCAAGAACCACAUUCAACUUAGUAUCUUUCUAAAAAUGCUGUUGAUAGUGGAGAAAAUGUUUGCAAAACCCAAGAUACUUAAAAGCCAGAGCAUCCCCGAAACGCGAGUGCCGGCUUAUGUGUAAUAUUUAGUUUCAAUCUUGUGAACAUUCGCAAGUCUUCAAUAAAUAUUUCUAACAAAAGGGCAUAGGAUGAAUGAAGCCGUACAUCACUCUCAUUGGAUUCUUAUUGCCCUUAAAUCUUAAACUGAUUUUUGUAAAUGUGCACCUAUAUAAGAAAUUUACAGCCUCUGAAUUUAACAAAGUGAGAUUAAGUGGGACUCUAUUGGCAUCUAACUGAUUUCCUUUUAUGUAUGGAAAAGAAAUCUCUGAAACCAAAAGGAAAAUGUAAUGUAAAAGUGAUACCAUGAGCCGGGGAUUUAGCUCAGUGGUUUCCACCACCUGCCUCACAAGCGCAAGGACCAGAGUUUGAUCCCCAGUACCAAAAAAAAAUAAAAAUAAAAUAAAUUAUAUAUCACAACUGCUUGCCUGCCUGUUUGCCAGUUAUUUUAUUUAGUGCCCAUGAUGUACAGGCAUUUCCUAAAACUCUGAAGACUAUUAGGAUUAAUCACAUUCAUUCACUAGCCAAGUCCAAACCCUACAUAUAAGAAGUUAGGUGAUUUGUCUUCAGUCUUCCUCCGGCUUCAUUUACUGCUCUCCUCCAUUCAAGCUGCAAAUCAGCCACUAUUUGCCAUUUCUCAAAUUCUUGCUUUUUUACAUCUCCAUUUCUCUGUCCCUCCUAUUCCCCUCUUCCCCGAGUGCCCUCCCUCCGUCCCUCCCUGCCUGUCACUCUCCUUUCCUCUCUCCCUCUCUUCCUCCCAGUCCCUCUCUUUCUUUCUCCCUCCUCCCCUCUCCAUCUUUAUCCCUUUCCGUCUGUUUCUAUCUGUCUUUUUUUUUCACUACUGGAGAAUAAACCCUAGGCCUUUGUACUGAGCUGGAGAAUAAACCCUAGGCCUUUGUACUNNNNNNNNNNNNNNNNNNNNNNNNNNNNNNNNNNNNNNNNNNNNNNNNNNNNNNNNNNNNNNNNNNNNNNNNNNNNNNNNNNNNNNNNNNCCUUUUUUUUUUUUUUUUUAAAGAUUCUUGUUAAAUUGCCCUGGCUGGGCUCAAACUUCCAAUCCUCCUGCCUCAGCUUCCCAGCUCCAUACUAGAUUUUCUAAGAUUAGUUCUUCCAUACAGCAGCCAUGGACUGAGUUUGCUCUGAUCUCAGUCCUUUUGGAGCUAGGUUUUCUGACAAGAAACAAACAUGUAAGUUUCCUGGUUGGUCCUAUAAAGGUGAGUGUGGAUAGAGGAAGGAGAGACAAGCUCUGCUGUGGAGUUUGGAAGGCACUGAAGAGGUAACGCCCCUGAAGCAUGCUGGGAAAAAGAGAUGAAGGAGGCAACCCAUUCAGGACCCCUCCCAUCUCAAGAGUUACCCCUAUUCCUUGUUCCCUAUUCCUGUUCCCCAAUAAAUUUUCUUUCUCUUAACCUCUGUUCUUUAGAAUUUAUUUGUUG
rnacentral:lncRNA from 1 species